GUUCUACUGCGGCGUUGGUGACUGCCAAUAAUGUUUUAUGAUCUAUGCCUUGUUUGUAAGGGAACCAAGCUGUGCCGGUGGCAGUAAACCAGGCUCGUACCUGGAAACUUAAAACUGGUGCCAUGGUACCCACCUGGAUUUAUUCCAGGUCAAAAACUGAGGUAAGACGGCGUUGCGGGGAACCU
rnacentral:other from 1 species